rnacentral:rRNA from 1 species
UAGGGAAUCUUCCACAAUGGACGCAAGUCUGAUGGAGCAACGCCGCGUGAGUGAAGAAGGUCUUCGGAUCGUAAAACUCUGUUGUUAGAGAAGAACACGAGUGAGAGUAACUGUUCAUUCGAUGACGGUAUCUAACCNGCAAGUCACGGCUAACUACGUGCUAG